GGUACAGUCUACAGAGUAGUUCGUAUCUGCGCACGGAGACGCUGGCGGCGUGCUCAAACAUGCAAGUCGAACGGAGUUAUUUAGCUUGCUAAUUAACUUAGUGGCGGACUGGUGAGUAACGCGUGAGUAAUCUGCCUAUUACAGGGGAGUAACAGUUGGAAACGACUGCUAAUACCGCAUAAGGACCACGGGAAGGCAUCUUCAAGGGGUCAAAGGAUACUGGUAAUAGAUGAGCUUGCGUAUCAUUAGCUAGAUGGUGAGGGUAAAGGCCCACCAUGGCGACGAUGAUUAGCCGAUCUGAGAGGAUGACCGGCCACACUGGAACUGAGAUACGGUCCAGACUCCUACGGGAGGCAGCAGUUAGGAAUAUUGGGCAAUGGAGGAAACUCUGACCCAGCAACGCCGCGUGAAGGAAGAAGGUUUUCGGAUUGUAAACUUCUGAUCUUGGGGAAAGAGAAAGUGAUGGUACCCAAGGAGAAAGCCACGGCUAACUACGUG
rnacentral:rRNA from 1 species